AACGAACGCUGGCGGCAUGCCUAACACAUGCAAGUCGAACGAGACCUUCGGGGCUAGUGGCGCACGGGUGCGUAACGCGUGGGAACCUGCCCUUAGGUUCGGAAUAACUCCCCGAAAGGGGGGCUAAUACCGGAUAAUGUCUUCGGACCAAAGAUUUAUCGCCUUUGGAUGGGCCCGCGUUGGAUUAGCUAGUUGGUAGGGUAAAAGCCUACCAAGGCGACGAUCCAUAGCUGGUCUGAGAGGAUGAUCAGCCACACUGGGACUGAGACACGGCCCAGACUCCUACGGGAGGCAGCAGUGGGGAAUAUUGGACAAUGGGCGAAAGCCUGAUCCAGCAAUGCCGCGUGAGUGAUGAAGGCCUUAGGGUUGUAAAGCUCUUUUACCCGGGAUGAUAAUGACAGUACCGGGAGAAUAAGCUCCGGCUAACUCCGUG
rnacentral:rRNA from 1 species